UUAAACAAGAUCGGAGAGAUCCGAGACAUACACCUGUCCCUAUCUACUAUCUAGCGAAACCACAGCCAAGGGAACGGGCUUGGAAUAAUUAGCGGGGAAAGAAGACCCUUUUGAGCUUGACUCUAAUCUGGCAGUGUAAGGAGACAUAAGAGGUGUAGAAUAAGUGGGAGAUAUUAGACUUCGGUUUGGUAUCGCCAAUGAAAUACCACUACUCUUAUUGUUUCCUUACUUACUUGAUUAAAUGGAACGUGUAUCAUUUCCUAGCCAUUAUACGGAUAUAUUUAUUAUAUCUUAUGGUAUUGGGUUUUGAUGCAAGCUUCUUGAUCAAAGUAUCACGAGUUUGUUAUAUAAUCGCAAACAAAUUCUUUAAUGAGAGAUGCAUUUACUGUAUUAUUGAUUUGAAAAUUUGGUAUAACUCCAAUUACUCAGGUAUGAUCCAAUUCAAGGACAUUGCCAGGUAGGGAGUUUGACUGGGGCGGUACAUCUCUCAAAUAAUAACGGAGGUGUCCCAAGGCCAGCUCAGUGCGGACAGAAACCACACAUAGAGCAAAAGGGCAAAUGCUGACUUGAUCUCGGUGUUCAGUACACACAGGGACAGCAAAAGCUCGGCCUAUCGAUCCUUUUGGUUUAAAGAGUUUUUAACAAGAGGUGUCAGAAAAGUUACCAUAGGGAUAACUGGCUUGUGGCGGCCAAGCGUUCAUAGCGACGUCGCUUUUUGAUCCUUCGAUGUCGGCUCUUCCUAUCAUUGUGAAGCAAAAUUCACCAAGCGUUGGAUUGUUCACCCAUGCAAGGGAACGUGAGCUGGGUUUAGACCGUCGUGAGACAGGUUAGUUUUACCCUACUAAUGACAAAACGUUGUUGCGACAGCAUUCCUGCGUAGUACGAGAGGAACCGCAGGUACGGACCAAUGGCACAAUACUUGUUCGAGCGAACAGUGGUAUGACGCUACGUCCGUUGGAUUAUGCCUGAACGCCUCUAAGGUCGUAUCCGUGCUGGACUGCAAUGAUAAAUAAGGGGCAAUUUGCAUUGUAUGGCUUCUAAACCAUUUAAAGUUUAUUAUUUAUAUUUUAAACGACAAUGGAUGUGAUGCCAAUGUAAUUUGUAACAUAGUAAAUUGGGAGGAUCUUUGAUCACCUGGUGCCAUGCUAGUUACAUAUGAAAACAUUAUUUAAUACAAUGACAAAGCCUAGAAUCAAUUGUAAACGACUUUUGUAACGGGCAAGGUGUUGUAAGUGGUUGAGCAGCUGCCAUACUGCGAUCCACUGAAGCUUAUCCUUUGCUUGAUGAUUC
rnacentral:ncRNA from 1 species